GACUGUUGCAGCUAAUAAAAAGUACAAAAUAUAUAAAACUCCGCCCAUCGAACACUCAGUUGAGCCAGUAAACCUAAGCAAGGAAAUGCGGUCCAAAAGAGAAACUGAAACUUAACGGGCAUUUUAAAAACGGAAGAGAAAGAAUCCCUAGAAAAGAAGGAAUUAAAAUAAAUGUAAAAAACGGAGCGAACAGCCUGUUGUGGAGUGGAACUGAGGUCUGCCAAUUUGGGUCAGAACCCACUUGUUCACUUGUUCCCUUUCCUUCUCCUCCGGUCUGUACCACUGGCUCUCCCUACUCUCGUAUCCUUAAACUUAAUGUUCAACAGUAUAUCUCUCCUCCCAUCAUUCCUACCCGAAUCUCUGUUAGAUAUCCCACUCAUUAUCCAGUCCGUGCUGUUACUGUUUCCAAUUUAAUUACAAUUCCCCUUCAGCUUCCUAUCACCAGCUCUGUUCCCAUUCUAUUUAAUCCAACUACCUUUAGAAACAGAAAAGGAUUAGGAAUUAUUCACUUAAAUAUUAGAAGUUUACUUCAGAAAUUAGAUCAUGUAAAUAUGCUAGUCAUGCAGACUGACCUGGAUAUACUGGUUUUAAGUGAAACUUGGCUUAAAAAUAGCAUCAGUGACUCAGAUGUAGCUCUAUUGGGUUACAACUUAUACAGAGUGGAUAGAACUGGUAGGGGAGGAGGGGUGAGUAUAUAUGUUAAAACAGGUUUCUCUGUAACAAUCUUAAAAGCUGUCACAAUUCCAAGAAAUUUUGAAUUCCUUGCACUGAAGGUUCAACUGGGGCCUAACUCAGUAAUUGUGGUUGGGGUCUAUAGACCCCAUCUGCUGAGUUAGGCUCCAUUGAUGCAAUAGCGGAUCUACUGUCCCAUUAUUCCAAUGCUGAAUUGAUUGUUAUGGGUGAUUUUAACUUGAACUGGCUGAAUGUUACUUCCAAUCAUUUCAAGGAGGUUAGUGCUGGCCUUAACUUAUUCCAACUAAUAACAGAACCCACUAGGCCAAAUCUGAAAGACAGCUCAAAAUCUACCCUAAUUGACCUUAUUUUUUCUAAUAGGGUUGAUAAUAUCACUGCCUGUGGUGUCUUUGAGCUUGGAAUCAGUGAUCAUUGCCCUGUUGGCUGCAUUAGAAGUACUCGGCUAAUGAAAACAAAAUCUCACAAGGUUAUGAGGAGAAAUCUAAGACAUUUAAUGAGCAAGCCUUUUUAUCUGACGUUUCCCAUAGUAACAUACAAUACACAUCUGAGAUUACUGAUGUCGACUUGGCUCUGGAUUUCUUCACAAAGACUCUUCUUUCUGUCAUUGACAGACAUGCUCCACUGAAAAAACUUAGGAUUAAAGAUAGAGUCACCCCUGGUUUUCACCUGAGCUAGCAGCUUUACUCAAAGAAAGGAAUAGAGCCUGGUCUCUUGCCAGACACUCCGGUGACCCUUCACAUUGGGCAGCUUUCAGGCAAAUCAGGAAUAGAUUCACAUCUUCGGUAAGAGUAGCCAAAUCCAAAUAUUACCUAGAUCUAAUUACCUGCUCCUAUGCUAACCCGGCUAAAUUCUGGAAGGCAGUGAACUCCAUCAAAACAGACCCACUACUUCCCUACCUUCACACAUUGAUUCUGGUGACUGUUUGAUCUCUGAUCUUAAUGAGGUUUGCCUAGCUUUCAACAAGCACUUUGCUGAGGCUGGGCAUUUAUUCGAAAAGGAAUAUACAGCACCCCCUCUUAUUAGUGAUGAUUGUGUAUAUACUAUGAACCAGGCCUUUCAGUUUUCCUUUCAGCCCUUCUCUGCUAGUGUUGUUUUUGAGACCUUGCAAACCAUUGAUCCCAGGAGCGCUACUGGAGAGGAUAAAUUAGAUCCCUUUUUUCUAAAAAUGGCUGCUCCAUUCAUUGCAGAGCAGUUAUCACACAUAUUCAAUCUUUCUAUUUCAACAGGAAUAUUCCCUAGUAUCUGGAAAUUGGCACAUGUAUUUCCACUGCACAAAGGAGGUGAUAGAAAUAAUCUAAACAAUUAUAGACCAAUCUCCAAAUUACCAUGCCUAGCUAAAAUUCUGGAAUCUCUGGCAAAUAAUCAACUCAAAGUAUUUCUUUCUAGUCAUUCAGUUCUAAGCCCACAUCAAUCCGGAUUUAGAGCCAAGCAUAGCACUAUCUCAGCUGUUACGCUAGUUACAAACAAUAUUAUGUCUGCUCUAGACAGUAAGAAACACUGUGCUGCCCUUUUUGUAGAUCUGUCUAAAGCUUUCGACACAGUCGAUCACGCUUUGCUUUUACAGAAGCUGUGCAGCAUUGGUUUAGAUGGUAAAGCUUGUGAUUGGUUUCAUAAUUACUUGUAUGGGAGAUUUCAGUGUGUGAAGUCUGGGAGCACCCAGUCUGGGUUCCUGCCUGUGUCGAAGGGGUUCCGCAGGGAUCAGUUCUGGGCCCUAUCCUUUUCACCAUUUACAUUAAUAAUAUUGUUUCCCCACUAAAUGAUUGUCAAGUCCAUCUAUACGCAGACGAUACUAUUGUAUAUUGUAUUGCUGAUUCUGCUCAGCUUGCCAUUGAGAAACUGCAGCUUGCUUUUAAUGCCCUUCAGGAGGCUCUUGUUAAGCUUAAGCUGGUUCUUAAUGCAAGCAAAACAAAAUUCAUGUUGUUUACUAGGGCCAGAAGCACUGAUUAUGAUAGCAUAUUUAUAUCCACUGCAAAUAGUUCUAAAAUUGAGAGAGUUUCUGAAUAUAAAUAUCUUGGCAUCUGGCUUGAUGAGAAAUUCUCAUUUAAAUUCCAUAUAGAUAAUCUUGUCAGCAAACUGAGACAAAAAAUUGGCUUCCUUUAUAGAAACAGAUCUUGCUUCCCUAUGAUCAGUAGAAAAAGAAUUGUUGAAGCAGUUUUCCUUUCAGUAUUAGACUAUGGUGACAUUAUUUAUAGAAUUGCUGCUCCUUCUUCCCUUAAGCGCUUGGACACAGUCUAUCACUCUGCCCUCAGAUUUAUUACUGGCGAUAGUUAUGGUACCCACCACUGUGUCCUCUAUGCCAAGGUGGGUCUGUCUUCUCUGGCAGUGAGGCGUGAUAAACACUGGUUUUUGUUUAUCUUUAAGGCCAUUGUCGGAAUGCUUCCACCUUAUAUUACAAGGUUGUUAGAGUGGCGCUCUGGACCCUAUCAAACCCGAUCAAAUGGCUUGCUUAUGCUUAAGGUCCCUCGGGCUCGAUCAGAAAUUGGGAAGUCAGCAUUCCAUUUUAGUGCCCCAUCCUCCUGGAAUGAGCUCCAACAAUUGCUGAAAAUCAGCUCUCUACCUACUUAUGGGCAGUUUAGAUCGCUGGUUUUGAACAUUCCUGUCUCUGAGUGCAUCUGUUUUUGAUCGUAUCUGUGCUGAUUUUAUUUAUUUAUUUUAUUAUUUUAUUUUAUUUUUAUUUUUAAUCAUAUUUUACUGUAUUUUAUUACUGUUAUUUUAUUAUUUACUAUGUUAGUUGCUGUUGCUAUAUUCUAUGAUCUUUUAUUACACCUAUUGUGUUUUAAUUGUGUUUGUAAUCUCGGCUACAUUGAAAAUGAGGGCCUGGCCCUCAAUUGUACCUCCGAGAAUUUAAAUAAAGGUUCUGACUUGUGAAUCUGAUUUGGUGUAUUCAGGUGUCCUGAGACAGGGGGCACUGUUUCUAAAAUGAGUUCCUCAGAGGAUACCGAGACUGACGAUGGAACCCAUGGCCCUGCGAGAAAGAGGGUCCGGGUAGAGAGGGCAGGGUCACCUGUACCCAGCUGUCUGUCUAUGAAGAGUGAUCAUUCAAUGCAUUUUCCAGACAACUUCAGAGGAGAGUUCACAGGUGAUCAAAGGUAAUGAAACAAGUUCAUACUGACA